rnacentral:rRNA from 1 species
UACGAAGGGGGCUAGCGUUGUUCGGAUUUACUGGGCGUAAAGCGCACGUAGGCGGAUCUUUAAGUCAGAGGUGAAAUCCCAAGGCUCAACCUUGGAACUGCCUUUGAUACUGGGGAUCUCGAGUUCGGGAGAGGUGAGUGGAACUGCGAGUGUAGAGGUGAAAUUCGUAGAUAUUCGCAAGAACACCAGUGGCGAAGGCGGUUACCUGGAGCUUUGCUGACGCUGAUGCGCGAAAGCGUGGGGAGCGAUCCGG